AGGGGACAGGGGUAAACACAAAUGCUCCCUGCUUUCCUUACAGUUCUGCUUCAAAGUCAUGCAGAGCGCUCAUGAAUGUGCCCAAUGCUCCUCUUCCCUCCUUUAACAACAUGUGGUACAUGGGAACUCAGCUGCUGAUUCAGCAUUUGUUUGCUGCUGGGAAGAACUUCAAGUCUCAACCGACGCUCGUAAAACAACUCGGCUCCAGUAAAUCAUACUGCCUUUUUGUGGAUGUUGAUGGUCAAUAGAAUGACAUGAGUAUACACACAGCUGAGAAACCUGAGCCCCCAGCAGAGAUUUUCUCCAUCUGCACAUUGUUGUACUUGAGCUCCUUGUCCUCUCCUCUGGCUGUGAUUGAGGAACAACCUAACAACAUGGUUAAGGACUUUCGUGAAUUAGUGCCUAGAUUCCUGCGUUUAUGCAGUUAAAUUUUUGGAUACUAGCAAGAUCUUUGCCAGUCUGUAAUCAAGUGUGCAUCAACGACAGAAAGAAUUGGGCAGGAUAGAGACCAGAAUCAUGUAUCCAGUGUUCCUUGCUCAACCUGAAUGUCUCCAGGUACUUAACAAACUAGCAAACUGCAUGCUUUGAAGGGUACAGCAAUUUAUUAUAAUAGAGGUUAAAAGCAGAACUUUGGGGGGGUGGAAGGGGAAGAAAGAGAAAAAAAAGUUUACUUCAGAUCAAUCUUAGGGAGCUAAUAGGAACACAGUUCUUGUUUUGAUUCCCUGUCUCUGGAGAACAUCAAAUUGAUAUUUAUCUCUUUCUUAGGAGAAACAGAAUUAAAAGCACCUCAAUUCAUAAAUAUCUUGCUCAAUUCUCUUCAAAGUCUCCUAAAAAUCCAGAGAGGAAGGUGUGCUCCCACUUUGCAACUGCUUCAGCAAGCCCAGGCCCCACAGUUCACCUGCAUCUUUAAGCCAUUGACGACGGCAGUUACACAGAGGGGUGACAGUUCCUGCUUCCUCUGUUUCUGGAACAGAGCCCCUUAUUCUGUUCUUUAUCAUGUUAUGACCAUUUGAUCACACGCCACUGGCCUCUGUAACCAGGCUCUUGCCUCACUUUCUUUCCACCAAUAAAGAGGUUCCUGUCACUGUG